rnacentral:rRNA from 1 species
UACGGAGGGUGCAAGCGUUAUCCGGAUUCACUGGGUUUAAAGGGUGCGUAGGUGGGCAGGUAAGUCAGUGGUGAAAUCUCCGGGCUUAACUCGGAAACUGCCAUUGAUACUAUCUGUCUUGAAUACCGUGGAGGUCAGCGGAAUAUGUCAUGUAGCGGUGAAAUGCUUAGAUAUGACAUAGAACACCAAUUGCGAAGGCAGCUGGCUACACGAAUAUUGACACUGAUGCACGAAAGCGUGGGGACCAAACAGG